GCCGAGCCUUGUAGCGUGGGCUUGUGACCCAAGUGGGGGCAAAAAUGUGGUAGAAUGUUGGGUUGAUCCUGAAGGCUGGGCUUUUGGGUGGCUAAUGUCUGGCCUGCCCUAUCCAAGCAUGGAGUUGAGUCAUGUGGCCCAAAAGAAAGUAUGGGCUUCUUGGCUCCUAGAGUGGGGUGGACCGCGUGAGGCUGGUUUCACAGAGCAACGAACAGCUCUCGCUUCGUGCAGUGGAAAGAUAACAGGCCGGUGUUAUCCAAGUCCAACUAAACCUGAUGGGCUUCUCAAUUAAACCUAAACCACCACCAUUU
rnacentral:SRP_RNA from 1 species